GAUGAACGCUAGCGGGAGGCUUAACACAUGCAAGUCGAGGGGCAGCAUAGGGUAGCAAUACUCUGAUGGCGACCGGCAAACGGGUGAGUAACGCGUAUGCAACCUACCCUGUACAGGGGGAUAACCCGGAGAAAUUCGGACUAAUAUCCCGUAAUAAUAUCCGGAGGCAUCUUUGGAUAUUUAAAGUUUCGACGGUACGGGAUGGGCAUGCGUAACAUUAGCUGGUUGGUAAGGUAACGGCUUACCAAGGCUAUGAUGUUUAGGGGUCCUGAGAGGGUGGUCCCCCACACUGGUACUGAGACACGGACCAGACUCCUACGGGAGGCAGCAGUGAGGAAUAUUGGUCAAUGGGCGCAAGCCUGAACCAGCCAUCCCGCGUGCAGGAAGACGGCCCUAUGGGUUGUAAACUGCUUUUCCAGGGAGAGAAACUUACGCACGUGUUGCGUGACUGACGGUACCCUGGGAAUAAGCAUCGGCUAACUCCGUGCCAGCAGCCGCGGUAAGAUC
rnacentral:rRNA from 1 species